rnacentral:rRNA from 1 species
UACGUAGGUGGCAAGCGUUGUCCGGAUUUACUGGGCGUAAAGAGCGCGCAGGCGGUCGUCCAAGUCGCGUGUGAAAGCCCCCGGCUCAACUGGGGAGGGUCACGCGAUACUGGUCGACUCGAAGGCAGGAGAGGGUAGUGGAAUUCCCGGUGUAGUGGUGAAAUGCGUAGAUAUCGGGAGGAACACCUAUGGCGAAGGCAGCUCGCUGGGACGUUACUGACGCUGAGACGCGAAAGCGUGGGGAGCAAACAGG